GAAAAUUCAGGGGUUUUAGGUUUAAAUGUAGGAUAAAAUUCAGCCAAGAGGGGACAUGCAGCUAGAAAGAUUAAAUGUGGGGUGGUUCGUGCUGAUGGUAUUCGGACCGGUCCUAUGGUGUGGAUCCGGCACUGGUAAGGAGGGAAGAAAGGGAAAGCUAUGGACGCGGUGGAGACAGGGACAGAGCGAGAGAGAUCGGAAGCCGAUCUAGCCCUUCCCCCCGCUGGAUCGACGGUGGCGGGAGCUAAUCUAGCGCAAGACGCCGUCGCGAAGCUGGGAGGGCCAGAUUUGGUCCCAACCCAUCGUGGCCAUGCUCUUGGUCGGUCGUGAGAGUAGAAGGUGAAGAAAAGAAUAUAGUAAAUUGUUUUUAUUAUAAAAUUAAUUUUAGAUAUUAAGUAUAAUGAAUUAAUUUAACGUAAAUGAAAAUAAAAAAAACAUUGACAAAAAGGGGGGAAAGAAGAAAAAUUAAAAAAAUUAAGAAAUGAAAAAAUUGUAGGAAAAUGGAAAAAAAAUUAGAGUUUUUUCUUUGGUUUAGAGUUACUUUGUGGACUUUAUUCAUAUUUUACUAUUAUAAAUAUUUUAAUAUUUUAUUUUCAACAAUUUAUUCAAUUUAAUUAUUAUCAAUUUUAAUGUAUAAAUUUUAUUAUUUAUCUAUAACACUCUCGCUAUGUCGUCAUUAAUAUUAAUUUUAUUUCUUAAUCAUAUUCAAUAAAAACUUCUCACAUUAGCAUUAAUAUAUAAUUACAGAAUUAUUUUAUUUAAAAUCAUGUUGUAAUAUACCUUAUUAUAAAAAUAGAUAAGCCUAAUCCAUACUUAAAUAAAUCUAAUAGAAUAGCUUUAAAAAAAUAAAAUUACCCUAGAAUAUAUAUAAAAAAUUAAUAUUUUAAAAUUAAAAAAAAACUAAUUUUACUUAUAAAAUUUGCCCCCACAUCGUCAAGAUCGAAUUCUAAAUUAGACAAAAUAAAAGUUAUGAAAGGUAAAAAAAAAAUUCGACUCCAAUUUUAGAAAUAUUGUCCAUCAAGAUUCUUGAAAAAGAAAAGGAAAGGAACAUUUCUUUAAUAAAGACUAACGACAUGAAGAAUAUGGUGGCUUAGAUCAUGUACAUCCAUGUUUAUUCCUACCUUUUUCUAUAAGCAACCAAUUUACAACUGUGAAAUAAAUAGUAAAAAAGGGUUUUUUUAUUGUAAAAAAUAAGAAAAAUAAAUAAAGGUACAUCUAAUUCUUUGACCCAGUUUGCAAGAAAAGAAGUCCAUGCUGCCUAACCAUCUACAUUCUUUUCCCAUUAUUUUCCCUCAUUUAUUAAAGAAAAUAAUUAAUAAAUAAAAUAUUAGUUGUCUUUUUAAAAAAAUAUUUAUUGUCACUUGUCUGAAUUUAAACUCAAUCUCAUAUGAUCUUAAGCUUUAAAAAUAGGGUGUAAAUAAACUUAUAAAUUACAAACAUACAUUUUAAAUUCAAAAAACAUAUAUUCAUAUUUAUAUACUCAAGAUUUUUCUCACUUUUUAUUGAUGCAAGAUCCAUAACACUAUGGCAACGUUUAACAUUCGAAAAAGAAAAAUAAACAGUAUGAGAUAUUUAUUAUUUGUAAUUAUUUUUGGACUUGGUUGGAAUUGAAUCAUGUCAAAUUCAAUAAAGAAUUGAGCAACGUUUUGCAUUAUAAAAAUUAAGAAUGAACAAGAGAUGUACCAAAAAUAAAAGGAAUCUUUUUUUGUCUAUCUAUAAAAAGAAAUACGGGAGAUUUUUAAAAAUGAUUUUAAUGUCCUUUAUUUCUAUUUUUCAUCCAUUGAAAUAAAAUAUAUAUUUUUUAAUAAAAACAAAUACCUAAAGUUUUGACAUGAUGGAUGGUUGGAUAAGUACCAACAGCAUUUCUGUCAAUAUUUUUGUCUCACUUGAUAUAACAAAAAUUUAUUAGAUAAAUUCAAGUAUAAAUUUAACGAUUUACGAAAAUAUAAAUUAUUUAUAAAUAAGUGAAUUAAUAAAUUUUUAUCAUAUCGGGUAAGAAAAAAAAAUAGUUGUAACGUGUAGAGUUACUCUUUCGUUCUCAUAAUAAAAGGCAUACCAUUUUUUGUCAGUUUUUGUUUGGUAAAAUAUUUUUAAUGAAUUUUUGUAAAAAAAUUAUAAAUUGCAGUUUGCAUUUAAUCGAGGACUUGAUCAUCAUUUUUGGAAAAGCUCAAGGGCGUAUAUGUAAAAUCGG
rnacentral:lncRNA from 1 species